AUUGAACGCUGGCGGCAUGCCUUACACAUGCAAGUCGAACGGUAACAGGUCUUCGGGUGCUGACGAGUGGCGAACGGGUGAGUAAUACAUCGGAACGUGCCUAGUAGUGGGGGAUAACUACUCGAAAGAGUGGCUAAUACCGCAUGAGAUCUACGGAUGAAAGCAGGGGAUCGCAAGACCUUGUGCUACUAGAGCGGCCGAUGGCAGAUUAGGUAGUUGGUGGGAUAAAAGCUUACCAAGCCGACGAUCUGUAGCUGGUCUGAGAGGACGAUCAGCCACACUGGGACUGAGACACGGCCCAGACUCCUACGGGAGGCAGCAGUGGGGAAUUUUGGACAAUGGGCGAAAGCCUGACUCAGCAAUGCCGCGUGCAGGAUGAAGGCCUUCGGGUUGUAAACUGCUUUUGUACGGAACGAAAAGCCCCGGGUUAAUACCCUGGGGUCAUGACGGUACCGUAAGAAUAAGCACCGGCUAACUACGUGCCAGCCGCCGCCGUAA
rnacentral:rRNA from 1 species